CCAGGUGGCAUAUCAUAUGGCCGUGGAUUCGGUGGUGGAUUUGGUGGAGGAAUUGGCCAUGGAUUAGGAGGUGGAUUUGGUGGAGGAAUUGGCCAUGGAUUAGGAGGUGGAUUCGGGGGUGGAUUUGGCCAUGGGGGUGGAUUCGGUGGAGUCUCUGUUGUCCGACCCGUGAUAAGCAGUCGUUACCGUCAGCAGAGGAAUCGGACACGGAGGAUUCGGAGGAAUUGGAGGAUUCGGAGGCAGACGGUAUGGCGGCUAUGGGUGGUAAAAUUGAUUAGGGAGAUUACAAUUAAUAAAAUGUCAUAAAUUAA